rnacentral:rRNA from 1 species
CUACGGAGGGGGUUAGCGUUGUUCGGAAUUACUGGGCGUAAAGCGUACGUAGGCGGACUGGAAAGUUGGGGGUGAAAUCCCGGGGCUCAACCCCGGAACUGCCUCCAAAACUUCCAAUCUAGAGAUCGAGAGAGGUGAGUGGAAUUCCAAGUGUAGAGGUGAAAUUCGUAGAUAUUUGGAGGAACACCAGUGGCGAAGGCGGCUCACUGGCUCGAUACUGACGCUGAGGUACGAAAGCGUGGGGAGCAAACAGGAUUAGAUACCCCAGUAGUCC